UCGAGGGGUAGAAGGAGCUUGCUCCUUUGAGACCGGCGCACGGGUGCGUAACGCGUAUGCAAUCUACCUUGUACAAAGGGAUAGCCCAGAGAAAUUUGGAUUAAUACCUUAUAGUAUUAUAAAAUGGCAUCAUUUAAUAAUUAAAGAUUUAUCGGUACAAGAUGAGCAUGCGUCCCCAUUAGCUAGUUGGUAUGGUAACGGCAUACCAAGGCUUUGAUGGGUAGGGGUCCUGAGAGGGAGAUCCCCCACACUGGUACUGAGACACGGACCAGACUCC
rnacentral:rRNA from 1 species